rnacentral:lncRNA from 1 species
CUGCAACUCAACCACCUGAGUUGGAAGAACAGGUGCUCUCUAAGGCCAAUGGAGGCAAGCAAGCUCCUCCAGGGUAACAUUUACAAUACCAAACUCAGAUUUCUGCUAUUCUCCCCUAGAAGCAGCAGGAGUAGGAUACAACUACACGAACACAAACACCCAGUGCCCUCUGCAAGGAUGUCCUAUUGCCUGUGGCUACUGCUGUACAAGGGUAAAUUAAAGAAGAGAACUCAAGCUAAGAAACAAAAGAAGAAAGCUAAUGUCUCAGUAGAGGAGAAGCUGGAACUGAUGUACAGUCAGCUUUACCAGGAAGGAAUAUAGCUUGCCAAUGGCCAUGAGCACAGACAUGCUGACCAACUGACCCCAGGGGCUCUGAGUGCUGCAAACAGCCAUGUGGAAUAGAGCCCUGUGGUCUCCCAAAAGAUUUCCACCUCCCUGUUAACCCUGAGUGAUUGGAGCUGUCUGCUGAUGGGGAUCCCCA